UUCACGGCAAGACGAUUGAGAUCGGAUUUACAAUUAACAAGUUCACCUAAUCUACUCCAGGUGGCUAAUGCUAUCUCGGUUACUCCCACUCUAUGGUCCGCGUUGACGUAUGUCCGCUUCAAUGGUGCUGUCGAAGCUCUAUGUUCUAUCAGCUAACCUCCAAAGUUGAAUUGUCAAACUUCGCUGGGUGGUUCCAAACUUCGAUUUCCAUUUCCAUCGGUGAAGGAAAUGCCGGAAAAUAGUGGAAACAGUGCAGGACGGAAUCUUCAAAGGUGGACUUCGCAAAGCCGGCUCCGGGCACAUGUCAUGGGGGUUAACAGUUACCAAUAUCAUCGAACCAGGGUAGUUUGGAAUACCAGACAGCGUCGUUGGCUCCCCAUGUGACGGUGGUGCAAUUCCCCAAUAGUGUUGGAGUCAGCAGCAGUUGUAGGUUGCAUAAAAAUGAGAGAAAAGCAUUUAGUAUAUUGAUAUCCUGGAGCAGAGGGAUGACAGGGUGUACGGUGAAAUUUCGGAAGAGACGGUGUGUGGGAUACCACUUACCCACCGGAUGACAGUCAGACGGUCCUGUUUGGUGGCAAUAAAGCUGCUCAGAACAAACAAAACUGUACGGAACAGAAUCUUCCAACACUGGCAGACCAGGUUAGAUCUAGCGGUUAUGGUGGAAUCGCGGAAAUAUAGGUCAUAAACAACGGGUGAAAUCACUUUCACAACGGUAUACGGAC